CUGGCCACGCUCCGAGCUCAACGAGCCUGUGGCCAGUUCAAGCCUUAGCACCAGUCUCUGGGAAGAAGGAAGCCUUGGAGGAGACAGAGCUGAGCCCAGGACCGUCCUCUGGUUGACCAAAAACGACCCUAAUGUCCCCUGACCUGAAUUGCUGGCCAAAGUAUUUCGUGGAAGAACAUUCUUGCAACACAAGAUGAAGGAGCACUUGUUUGUGUUGGGGGUGUGCAUGUGACUGGGGAGCAGGACAGAGACACCGAAGAAGUCAAAACACAAUGAAACCCCAGGUUGACUCAACAUGGAGAUCAUUGCCUCUGGUUUCAUGUUACUGGCUGAUUCUAUAUGUAGAAGAAUGAAACUCGACCAUUCUCUUACA